rnacentral:rRNA from 1 species
UACAGAGGUCUCAAGCGUUGUUCGGAUUCAUUGGGCGUAAAGGGCGCGUAGGCGGCGGGGCAAGUCGGGUGUGAAAUCUCAGAGCUCAACUCUGAAACUGCACUCGAUACUGCUUGGCUUGAGUACUGGAGAGGAGAUUGGAAUUCACGGUGUAGCGGUGAAAUGCGUAGAUAUCGUAAGGAAGACCAGUGGCGAAGGCGGGUCUCUGGACAGUUCCUGACGCUGAGGCACGAAGGCCAGGGGAGCAAACGGG